UAAUUCAUAACCGCUGUUGUCUGCCAUACACCCUUGUUGGCAUUGCGUGCCGCAUUUGUGUAUCUGGAGUUGAUGUUAGCAACACGUACAGGAAAAAUGAACCGAGGAACGAGACAGAUUCCAAAUAUCGAAGAUUUGCCGCAGCGUCGACUGUUUACACGAGAAGAAACACUUCUUGAAUUAGAAACAAUUUCUUCUGAGGAUCAUGACAGUUUACAAGCCGGCAAUAGUUCAACAAUUGUCGAUAUAUCACAUAGUAUACACGCACUUGGCCAUCGUGGUCAUCCUCGGCCCAGCAGCAGUGGGUCUUCCUCGUUCAACGCACUCAGGUUUCCACAAUCCACCUCUUCGCCAUCUCCGAGUACCGAUGAGAGUGACACAGAAAGUCAAGAAUCCAUAGUAUCUUUACUUUCUGCGAGGAGUGGACAGACCUCAUCGUUACAUGGUACUUCGGCAGGAAACAUUUCAGUGGCUUCAAGUUCAAGUGCACCAUCUGAGAUCAUUCUGCUCAUGUUGUACAUGGAAAACAAGAAACUCGAGGAACAACUCAAAAAGCAAAAUGAGGAGCUCCAAGAGAUAAGACAAAAUAUGCGACAAGGGGAGGUAAAUUAGAGAGGAAAACGUGUUGCUGUUCCUCGUGAAUGUUCGGUGAGAUUAUGAUUUUUUUUUUGGUAGUUUGUCUCUCGAAAUUUCAUAUUGAUUGAAAAUCAACUUGAAAUUUCGAUUUCCGUCAAUUUCGGAUAAGCACCGCAACUUUAAACAUUGAAUAAUCUUUAUGUGAGGAAAUUGAAACUGUACUCAUUAAUAAGACUUAAAAUGAGGCUACGAUGAAUACAAAGAAUUAUGUGAAAACAGAACCAGAAACGAGCAAACGAGGAAGGGCGGUUAACUAACUUUUUCAGCGACGUUUUGUGCAUGACAUUCUAUGGGAGAAGAAAAACGGUGGCACUAAUAGAUAAGUACAUGUAAGGAAAACUGUGGUUACAAUAAAUGUUCUUGACAAGUUUAUAUCAACUUUUUUUCCUCAUAGCAAUCUGUGAGGGACGUGUACGGAAAGUUGUACAGAGAUGGGAUUGGAGGAUUCAACCCGGCACAAAUGUAUACGUAUCGAAUUUAUCAUACAAGAGGCAUGUGACAUUUCCGUCAAUUUGUUUUCCUCUUUAAACUAGUGGUUCACAGUUUGCUACCAUUUUGAUAUUACCAAAAUUGACCAACGGACUUUGCAAAUUAAAAUAGAGAUGAUUUUACACUGUAAAUUAUCAUAUGCAAAUGCUUACUUUUCAUAGCAAAACUUCCAGAGAAAAUGAAGCAACCAUUUCGACGUUAACCCGAGAAGUUAGAACUGUUCGUGGACGAGAAAAGUGGAGUUCUGCUCAUAUACGAAAAGCUGCCAAAACCUACAUGUACUGUAUGUCGCUUCGUGACAAGCAGCGCCGGAUGGAGCGUGGAACGUACGAUCAGCACUUGAAGGGAAAUCAGCAAUUUCCCUUCAAUUUCUUUCUUUUAAACAGAAACUACACAGGCGACAAAGCGCCCUGAAAACAUUACAGGCUUCCCAAGAGCUCAAAAAGGAAGCCCUCGAGGUGUUGACAAUAGACUACAUGUCUUCCGAGGAGAGUAUGUCGGAGGGCGAGGAGGAUCGCUCAUCUGGAUGUAAAACCAGAAGGCUCCUGAAACUGCCAUGGGAGCGGUCAAAGCUGGCAUCACUUAAACAUAAGUGAUGUUUGCACACAUGCACACUUUGCAAAGACCGCUCCUGCAGUAGUUUCAAGGUUGCUUCCUGAAUUUGUCAUCUCGAAUGUGCCUUCCUCUCGCCCUCCGCCAUCAGUUGAUCGAGGCUCCUGGGCAGUGCAAACGCCGCAAAAUUAGCUAUAGGUCUACAUAUAUUUAGUAACGAUUCCUGUAUUUUUUGUCUAUUCAUAAUCGUUAAAUAAAAUAUUAAGAUUGAACUCGAUUUUUAGAGAGAACAGGCAAAAUAAAAGCUUUUGUUGUUUGUUGCUUUAUGUUAAGCUACUUUCGGGUUUAUUGUAUUCUAAAACCAUUCACCUCUUCUGCGCUCCGCCAACCUCAGUGUUAUUUAAAGGAUUUUGGAAAUAAAAAAGCCAUUUGAUUUUGUUUUACACAUUGGAAACGCCACUUAAUCGGAAAAAAAACGAUUUAUGAUCAAGGGCAAGUGAAAAAUCUGGAAAAAGAUUUCUUUUUUUAUAUACUGUUGUUAAAUUGGGACUGGAUUUAUAAUUCCCUUGAAUCUGAAUUGAAAGAGUUCUCCCCACAUUUUCUUUGUGAUUUCUAGUUUCCAUUCUUAUUUGAAGUUUUCUAAAAAACGAUGAGCACUAGGUGUCCGCUUCGUAUUUUAUUCCUUUGAACUUGGUGCGCCGUGUUUUAUGUUCGUUUACAUGUAUAUAGCUUUAUUUUGUGUUGUGAAUCACAUGAAAUGUCAGACCAUGUUUUUCGACUCAAUUAACUCAUACCAUGGGUCUAUUAUGAUACAUUCACAAAAAGUGGGCAAGUGGACAAAUGACUCUAUUAAGGCAUUGCUAAUGCAUGAUAACUUUGUAGAUGUACAUGUACAGUGUACUUUUAUGUGCAAAUGAGGUCGAAUAACGGAAGUGCACAAAUGCACGUGGUUCCAGCAGGUUGGUACAGAAACGGCCCGUAGUCGACCACUGGGAGACAGAACAAGGACAUAUUAACUCCCAAGAGCACUGAGGUGGGACAGCCUGACCCCAGCUGAAACUGGAGGUCAUCCAGUAGCUUUAACAAAAUUCACCCCCACACACCCAGGCAUACACGCGUACACUGGAUCUUAAGACGCGCAAACAUGAAUAACUACAAAUAAAUUUUAAUUUGAUGCAUUGGUACCAUUGUCAAUGAAUGAAACAAAAUAUACAAGUACCCACAAAGUUAAAACGAAAUUUUUGGAAAAGAUUUUUAUUUAAGUUUGUGCAGUUUGGUAGGUUCACUUGCUUAUGAGAUGAUUGGAUGUACCUGGAUUUGAAAUAAAAUAAAACAUCGGGGAAAAAGA